rnacentral:rRNA from 1 species
CCUACGGGAGGCAGCAGUGGGGAAUAUUGCACAAUGGGCGCAAGCCUGAUGCAGCGACGCCGCGUGAGGGAUGACGGCCUUCGGGUUGUAAACCUCUUUCAGUAGGGAAGAAGCGAAAGUGACGGUACCUGCAGAAGAAGCGCCGGCUAACUACGUGCCAGCAGCCGCGGUAAUACGUAGGGCGCAAGCGUUAUCCGGAAUUAUUGGGCGUAAAGAGCUCGUAGGCGGUUUGUCGCGUCUGCCGUGAAAGUCCGGGGCUCAACUCCGGAUCUGCGGUGGGUACGGGCAGACUAGAGUGAUGUAGGGGAGACUGGAAUUCCUGGUGUAGCGGUGAAAUGCGCAGAUAUCAGGAGGAACACCGAUGGCGAAGGCAGGUCUCUGGGCAUUAACUGACGCUGAGGAGCGAAAGCAUGGGGAGCGAACAGGAUUAGAUACCCUGGUAGUCCAUGCCGUAAACGUUGGGCACUAGGUGUGGGGGACAUUCCACGUUUUCCGCGCCGUAGCUAACGCAUUAAGUGCCCCGCCUGGGGAGUACGGCCGCAAGGCUAAAACUUAAAGAUAGNGCGUGNGAGNGCGACGACGACGACGAGGAGGAGGAG